rnacentral:lncRNA from 1 species
AAGACAACGAGUAUUUCAAUUUCCUGCUUUUUUAACUAAAAGUUUUCCUGCUCGUAGUGGGUUUUUUUUCUUUCAAAAAUUUUGUUUUUGUAGAUUUAUUUAAACAGACAGUGAGUAUCUUUAAUAUAUAUAAAUCAACAGUGUAAUACUUAUAUGUAAAGUAUCUUUAGACUAAAUUAUGUAUUAAAUCAUUGAAUAAUUCGGAAUGAGUUUCAAAUAAAGUUUCAAAAAUAGAGUUAUCUCCCAUUAGAAUAUUCCAAACUGUUUUCCCGUUGAUUGUUUCCCUUUAAUUUAUAUAAGAUACAAUACAGUCAUUUUGACGCAAAUGAUAUUUAGAUGUUUAAGGCCAUAAAAAGUAAUGCGAUUUGCCGUGACAAACAAACAUCUCUUGUACAAUCCUAUAAAAUUACAAAAAAAGAAGUAUGCAGUUUUUACACUUAAAAUGUUGUGCUUAAGUAAUAAACCAGUUUCUGUGAGGCUUUCGUUUAGUCAUAGUUUCAUAUUCAUUGUAGUAGCGUUUUCACGGAGAGCACACACAGUUUGAUGUGUCAUUUUGCUGUUUUAUUUUGGCCGUUUCUAUUUUAAUAUUUCUUAAUUUAUGUCUGGCAUUGCCUUGUUUUGUACUUUCUUCAAACAUUUACACGAAGCGCAAGGGUCACCAAAACAAUAGUGUACAAAACAAAAAAAUGAUAAAUCUCAGUUGGAAUUUUAUUUACAUAUAUGUUCCUUCAAAUUUGUCAUUGAAUCUGUUUUACUCGGAAAUUUCCCAUAGAUCUCAAUAUGAAGAAAGUAUUUUGUUGUUAUAAGCUUCCAAUGUAUUUAUUUCACAAAAGCUUCCGUCUUUUGAUUAAACUAAACAAACAUGUAUUGUUAUUUGACGUAUAUUUGUUGCAGGUAACAAAUUGCUGUUAUAAAAAAGUUGUUUGUACAUCUCAUGCAUGAAUCUUUCUUGAAGAGUUCGUAUAAUUAAAUUGGAAUUAUGCCUUUUGUUGUUAGUGAGCUUUACCACAAGUUAUUCAACAACCAACUACAUUGUCAUUUUGGGGGCCUUUUAUAGCUGACUUUGCGGUAUGGUCUUUGCUCAUUGUUGUAGUCCGUACGGUGACCUAUAGUUGUUAAUUUCUGUGUCAUUUGGUCUCUUGUGGAGAGUUGUCUCACAGGCAAUCAUACCACAUCUUCUUUUUUAAAUUUGAUAUUUUGGUUUUUCUCUCGCUUACUCAAUGUCGCUAACUCAUGUUUGUACGAUAUAACAAUACAAGUUUUUCAAACAUGCUACCCCUCUAUAGUCUUAUUUCCACGUAGAAGUGACGCUGUUAACUUAAAACUGUUGGGAAUUGUUUAAAGUAUAUAGUACAGAUUCUUAAUUUUCAAUUUCACUAGGGUUUAACAAUUCUUUGAAUUUGAUCUUGUGAGUGAAACAAAUAAAGGGAAAUUGUCCUUUGUCUCUUUUGUGAGAUGCGCUUACAGUACAAAUAUUUUGUUGGGGUACUGAAUGUGUUUCCGUCAAAUACCAACUACUUUCUGAGUUGAUUAAACUAUGACUUAGGACAAAAUCCUAUUACCCAGUCAACCCUUGGAAUCGUUAUAAAGUAUAAGGAUAUAAUGGUCAUUUGUUGGAACUUAAACGCUUCUUUUCUAGUUUCGUUACUCAAUAUUUAAAUUUGUAUGUAGUUAGCUGCUCACCUGUGAUCCUUAUAUAUAUAUAUCAUGACUUUGUAGUGUACAUUUAACCUUAUUGAUCUAUCGCUUUUAUUGAUAUCAAUGAUAUACUAUCUUUCUAUCACAACGUUUUGAAUAAUAUUAAAAAUGAUAAAAUUUGUAUAUUGUUAUAUAUGAUACCAGUAGUACUGAGUACUUAGUUAGUUUAAUAUUUAGUAUACCCAAUCUCAAACAGUCAUGGUUGGAUUUUCAGAAAACCUCUAUAUUGCUGAUAAGAUUUCAAAGAAAUCAGAAUAUAUACUUUCAUUUUAUCAUAGGUAUAUUAAACUGUAUGUGAAAAAACGUAUAAACUAUAUAAGCCAUAUAACUGGUAAGAUUCUUUGAUUGUCAAAAUACCUUAGAACAAUACAUACAUAAUUGUACCAAGAUAAACUUUGGAGAAGCUAAAUGAUUGCCAAUGAGAGAACUAUAUACUAUAAAUUCACAUUUUGUGGAUUCGGGUAGCUUUAUGUCGACGUACGGCUUCUAACAAUGAUCAAAAGUCAUACCUUGCAGCAACAAACUGAUGUGAACUAAUUCAAACGAAAAACACAAUCAGAUUUAAUAAUAACUUAAUAAUAAUAUAUUAAAAGUUUAUUUUUGUACAAAGAUUAAAUAAAACUUGAUAACCAUGUUAUGCAUCAAGUCACUUUUUAGAUAUACAUAUAUUAUAUAUUCUGAAAUAUUUGACUAGGAUGAAUGCCACAGUUAAAAUUAUUUCCUGAUCUUAUUUUCUUUUUAUCACUGAUAUUCUCAUUAUUAGUAUGAGGUGGACAUUGCUUGAAUUCUUUUUAACUUUUAAAUUUUAGAACAAAGCCCCAUCCCACUUUUCGAUUAUAUAUAAACUAAGGUUUCAACUAUGAAUUUACACAGGAACUAUUCUAUUUUUUUGCUAUCUACGCCCAAUUCUCCAACGAAACUCGAAGAGGGUCAGACAAAUGAAUAUGUAGUGUGCGAAAUUAGGUGACGCUCACCUUGGUAUAUGUGCAUAUUAAACAAAAGACACAGAUGGAUUCAUGACAAAAUUGUGUUUUGGUGAUGGUGAUGUGUUUGUAGAUCAUAUAUUAGGUCCGAGACCACAAUUGUCGUCCCUUGAUUUUCGUUGUUCAGUGUUGACAGUGGGUUACUUGCCAUUAAUUUUUAUACCCCUUCCAAAUUUAUUACUCCAUGUUUAAUGCCUCAAAUUGCAAGUAGGGGGGUCAAAUUACACUGUAAAAAGAUUUGGGUCCAGAAUUUUAAAGGAAAGUAGUGAUUUGGUCCAGCUGAAAAAUAUUUAAAAUUAGCACUUCGGAAGCUGUCAAAAGAUUUCAAGACGCCCUAAACAUAAAAUUGUUCAUAUUUUGAGUUAGAGCCGAUGAAGUUUUCUAUAAUUUUGAUAUAAUCUGUCCCAAAAGUAGUACAACACACUGUAGAAGGUUCUCUGAGAAAGCGCCGGUGGGAUUUUUUUAAUUUUCAUUUAUGUUCUAAAAGAAAUGCACUACGAAAUAAUUGUGGUCUCGGACCAUAAUUUACUGAUCAUUCUUGCUACUUGCAAUUUUCUUUAUCUGUAAUGAACUUGGCCCUUUAGUUAGAGGAAAACAUUUUGUAAAAACUUACCAAAAUUUACCAAAUUAAUGAAAAUUGUUAAAAAUUUACUAUAAAGGACAAUAACUCCUUAAGAGGUCACCUGAAUAUUUUGGUCAUGUUGACUUAUUUGUAGAUGUUAAUUUGCUGAACAUUAUUGCUGUUUGCAGUUUAUCUCUAUCUCUAAUAGUAUUCAAGAUAAUAACAAAAAACGGCAAAACCAGUUGUCCAAUUCAUCUAAAAAUUUCAGGGUAGAUAGAUAUUUACUAGAUAAACAAGUUAAUGCCUUGUAAGAUUUGCUUUAAAUGCUUUGGUUUCAGAGUUAUAAGCCAAAAUCUACAUUUAACCCCUAUGUUCUAUUUUUAGCCAUGGUGGCCAUCUUGGUUGGUUUGCUGGGUCACCCCACACAUUUUUUUAAACUAGAUACCCUAAUAAUGAUUGUGGCUUAGUUUGGUUACAUUUGGUCCAGUAGUUUCAGAGGAGAAGAUUUUUUAAAAAGAUUACAAAAAUUUACGAAAAAUUGGUAAAAGAUGACUAUUUAGGGCAAUAACUACUUAAGGGGUCAACUGACCAUUUUGAUCAUGUUGACUUAUUUGUAGAUCUUACUUUGCUGAACAUUAUUGCUGUUUACAGUUUAUUCUUUCUAUAUAAUUUCAAGAUAAUGAACCCAAAACGGACAAAAUUUCCUUAAAAUCCAAUUCAGGACUCAACACUCAUGUCCGAUUCAUUCUGAAAAUUCAAGGCAGAUUGAUCUUACUUAACAAUUUUACCAAUGUAGAUUGCUCUAAAUGCUUUGGUUCAGAGUUAUAAGCCAAAUAUACAUUUUACCCUAUGUUCUAUUUUACAAUACCGGGCAGAGUUCAUAUCCGUUCAUACAUGCCGCAACCAUGGCGGCCAUCUUGUUUGGUUUGGCGGGUCACCGGACACAAUUUUUAAACUAGAUAACCCAAUGAUGAUUGUGGCCAAGUUUGGUUAAAUUUGGCCCAGUAGUUUCAGGGGAGAAGAUUUUUGUAAAAGUUAACGACGACGGACGACGACGGACGUCAAGUGAUGAGAAAAGCUCUCUUGGCCCUUUGGGCCAGGUGAGCAAAAAAUGAGAUAAAUUCACAAUGCCAGAAUUUUUUUUUGUCUGAUAAAAGAAUUUAACACGUUUAAAGAAAUCAUUUUGUGAGUGAUCCCAGUAACACUACUCUUGUGACAAUAAAACAAAACAAAACAAAACAAAACAAAACAAAAUUAUUUGUUAUUUUAAAAGCUAUUUUGGGAAUAAUAAAUUAUUUUUAUAUAUAAUAAAGAGAAGAUAACUCUAAUUACCUUAUACAUUUGUCCGAAAGAUAGAAAACUAUUAUUAGACCUGUACAUUCAUAAUGUGCUGUAAAUGCGUAGUCCCUACACAUGCUACAUGAAAAUAUACAUUAACGUUCUAAUUCAAGAGGAAUAACUCAAAUUCAAUAUACAUUUACACAAAAAAAGGGUUUCUAUGUUAUAUUAUAAUCAGUAAAUGUAGCUAAAGGAUGUAAUACAUCAGUUUAUUCAAUAAUGGAAAUUCAUCACAUAAACUUAUUUGGAGAUUUUAAAUUAAAAGUGGAAGAUACGGAGAGAUCCAAAGGGUGAUCGUAUAAAAACACACAUAAGUUCUUUUCAGCAAUAAAGUUCAUCGACGUGAUGCUAGUAUUCCUACGUGAUACUAAAUUUUUAUAGAACAGUAACAGCAACUGCUGUGGUGUGACUAGUAACAGAAGAUCGUUAUGAGGAAGAUGGCAGAACAAAUUUCGUUCAGCUUAUUUGGAAAACAAAUCAAAGUUUAAUUCUAAAGUGUUUACAAUCAAGAAAAGAUAACUCUAGUUACCUUAUACAUUUUUAAAAAACAUAAUGUAAGCCUGUCAAAUUUAAUGAAUAGUCAAGAUAAGUAUGUACUUGUUGGGUUGGCAAAAUUUUGCAAAAUUGUUAUGUCUGUAUUUAAAUGAUAAUAUAUGGAUAUUACUCUUUCAUCUGCAUACACCUACUUUAUAUGUAUAUAUGUUAGUUCAUGCAUUACUAUUGUUUGUUAAAUUUAUUGUUUGUUAAAUUUAUUGUACUAUUAUGCCUCAUGUGAGGCCUUUAGUGAAAUAAAAAAGUUUCAAGUUUCAAGUUUCAAUAAACCCUUUAUUCAAUUUCUCUUUUUGAGAGGGUAUAUAAAGCAUUAUGAAGAUGCUAUUGAUGAAUGCUCGCUUUAAUAUCAUUAUAUGACAUUAUCUACAGCUGCCGCUAACGAAUGUAAAAUAGGUAUUUGUGUGUUGUAAACGAGUAUAUAAUGUGUUUAUGGGCUGUAUAUAUAUAUAUGAGUAUACAAUGUUCCCAUGUGCCGUUAGUCAGGUGCAUGCUUUGAAGGUUAAUCCAGUAAAGCACUUCGGAAGAAGGAAUUUAUAAAGUGUUCAUUAUUUUUCUAAUAGUGUUUUUUUUUUUUUUUUAUAGUUUUCAUUUGCAAAAAAAAAAUUGGCAACAAGAUUAGAAAAAUAUACCUCGAAAAAAAAUGAGUGUUGUGCAAAGCAAGAACAGUGUUAAAAAUGUCAAAUGACAGUGAUAAUGCAUUCUUGAGGUAUAAAGAUAAGACAUUGAUUAACAAACUAUACAUAAAUAGUUUGAAUUGUUUUACAUUGUCAUUUCGGGGCCUUUUAUAGCUGACUAUGCGAUAUGGGCUUUUCUCAUUGUUGAAGGCCGUACGGUGACUUAUAGUUGUUAAUUUCUGUGUCAUUUUGGUCUCUUGUGGAGAGUUGUCUUUAUUGGCAAUCAUACCACAUCUUCUUUUUUUAUAUGUAUACAGAAUGAAAUUUAUUAACUUCUUUAUAUGCACAUUUUGACGAUUUGCAUCACGAUUUGUGUCUUCAUGAUAUUAUUAGGCUUGUUCCUAAAUGGUUAGACAUCAAAGUUUUUGGAGCAGGUUACAAACAGCAAAGUCACAGCCGAGUAUGAAUAAAUCCAUACAAUAUCAAGUAUGCAUUGACCAACCCUUUUCCGAUUUUGGGGAGGGGUGGAGGUAAUGCGGUUUACAUAUUUACUGUCUUACCUAUAAGAAAUUAAAAGGGGUUUUUAUGGUUAUAUUUCUGGUUGCUUCUGGACAGUUUCGAGUGGGUGGCACUUCUUCAUAAGUUUUUAAAUUGUGUUGGUGUAUUACUAAAUGCUGGUAAAUAAAACAAAUGGAUUUCUUUGGACUUUUUAAGAGGCAUAGGUGUUCGUGUGUCACGCCCUCUUUGUCUAACAUAUUGGAAUACCACAUUAAGGUUUAGUUAACAUUACACGAUACAUGAGGUUUCUAUUGUCAUUUACUGGCUUUCCAAGGGAAUAAUUUGAGGAUGUUACGUGCAUGUCUGUUGAAUAUUUUGUUUGCCGAGACAUUGCUGCAACAUGUCGAAUUUUGAUUUGAGACAGUUAUAUGUAUGUAAAGAAGGUGGUUUUAAUGCACGAAUAGCAGCUUUGUGAUCAAGGGGAAGUAACUCUAAUUUCCUUGUUCAAUUCAUUUUCUUUUACCUUAUUUUUACAGUAAGGAAAACUAAAACAUAAGUAUUGAAAUAUUAAUAUUAUAUGAUUAUGCGGAUUGUGACUACUAGAUUAUACAUAUAUAGUAUACGUCUUUUUUCAAUGAUUUUAAAAAAAAUUUCUUCUAGAAAUAUACAUCUACAAGUUCAAAAUAAUUACAAAAUCCUUACUAAAUAUUUCCCUAACUUAUGUGUACAGGAAAAAGAAACUGAUAUUUGAGAUAUUUUAUUUAUUAAAAUUUACUAGCAUUGUAAGGCCAUAACUGUAAGAAUAAAAAUGACACCAGUUCCCUGGCAUAAUUUCUAAACUGUUAACUACAAACUGAUUCUAUGUGAAAAAUGAAAAUUCUGUAACACGUACAUUUGUUAUUUGCAACUUAAAAGGAAUAAAACAAAAUUGGAAGCAAAGCACCCCCCCCCCAAAAAAAAAAACAAAAACAACAACAACAACAAACAAACAAACCCAAUACAAACCCCAAAUCGUUCAGUAAGUUUUAAAAUAAGAAAUUUAAGAAAGAAUCAGUUUUGAAGGCCGAAAACAACAUCAUAUAUUUCAAAAAAACAGAAAACAGGAACAAAUAAUACAUACAACGUAACAAUACAAUUUUCAUAAGUAUAUAGAUAUAGACAUUUAACUGCAUAUUACACGUCUCUACAUGACCGCCAUUGUAUCUCGUAUCACUUCAACUGUUGCCUUUAUCCAUCGCCUAAGAAAUACAGAGAUUGUUUAAUUGUGACUGUAAUAAUGAAUGACCACAAGUGAUUUGACAGUAUUUUUUACUUUUUUGCAGACUUUUGAUGUCAAUUAUGAAGUAUAAUAAAGGAUUAUAAUCAUUAUUCAAAUUUGAUGUGACACAAAUUUUAAAACAAUUUCUCCGCCAUUAAAAUAUUGUGUAACUGUGCAUAAUUCGAAUAAGGAGAAUGAAAACAGAAGUUAAGGU